AGGACGAACGCUGGCGGCGUGCCUAACACAUGCAAGUGGAGCGACGAACCAGGCUUCGGCCUGGGGCAGAGCCGCGAACGGGUGAGUAACACGUGGGUAACCUGCCCUGAUGAUUGGGACAACCCGAGGAAACUCGGGCUAAUACCAAAUGUGCCCUCUGGCCUCAAGGCCUCUGGGGAAAGGAGCUUCGGCCUCCGCAUUGGGAUGGGCCCGCGGCCCAUUAGCUUGUUGGUGGGGUAAAGGCCUACCAAGGCGACGAUCGUUAGCUGGUCUGAGAGGAUGAUCAGCCACAUUGGGACUGAGACACGGCCCAAACUCCUACGGGAGGCAGCAGUGGGGAAUAUUGGACAAUGGGCGAAAGCCUGAUCCAGCAAUGCCGCGUGUGUGAAGAAGGUCUUCGGAUUGUAAAGCACUUUCGACAGGGACGAUGAUGACGGUACCUGUAGAAGAAGCCCCGGCUAACUUCGUGCCAGCAGCCGC
rnacentral:rRNA from 1 species